GUAUUGGUGAAGUGGUUAACACAUCGGUUUGUGGAUCCGACAUACGUGGGUUCGAUUCCCACAUA
rnacentral:tRNA from 1 species